rnacentral:rRNA from 1 species
CCUACGGGAGGCUGCAGUGAGGAAUAUUGGUCAAUGGACGAGAGUCUGAACCAGCCAAGUAGCGUGAAGGAUGACUGCCCUAUGGGUUGUAAACUUCUUUUAUAUGGGAAAAAAACGUUCCACGUGUGGGAUUUUGUAUGUACCAUAUGAAUAAGGAUCGGCUAACUCCGUGCCAGCAGCCGCGGUAAUACGGAGGAUCCGAGCGUUCUCCGGAUUUAUUGGGUUUAAAGGGAGCGUAGGUGGAUUGUUAAGUCAGUUGUGAAAGUUUGCGGCUCAACCGUAAAAUUGCAGUUGAAACUGGCAGUCUUGAGGACAGUAGAGGUGGGCGGAAUUCGUGGUGUAGCGGUGAAAUGCUUAGAUAUCACGAAGAACUCCGAUUGCGAAGGCAGUUCACUGGACUGCAACUGACACUGAGGCUCGAAAGUGUGGGUAUCAAACAGGAUUAGAUACCCCGGUAGUC